rnacentral:rRNA from 1 species
AGAGUUUGAUCCUGGCUCAGGAUGAACGCUAGCGGGAGGCUUAACACAUGCAAGUCGAGGGGUAGAAUAGCAAUAUUUGAGACCGGCGCACGGGUGAGUAACGCGUAUGCAACCUGCCCUUUACAGGGGGAUAGCCCGUCGAAAGGCGGAUUAAUACCCCAUAAUAUUGUACCAUCGCAUGAUGGAACGAUAAAAGCUUAGGCGGUAAAGGAUGGGCAUGCGUGACAUUAGCUUGUUGGUAGGGUAACGGCCUACCAAGGCUACGAUGUCUAGGGGUUCUGAGAGGAAGGUCCCCCACACUGGUACUGAGACACGGACCAGACUCCUACGGGAGGCAGCAGUGAGGAAUAUUGGUCAAUGGGCGCGAGCCUGAACCAGCCAUCCCGCGUGCAGGAAGACGGCCCUAUGGGUUGUAAACUGCUUUUGUGCAGGAAGAACGCCAGGUACGUGUACCUGAGUGACGGUACUGCAUGAAUAAGCACCGGCUAACUCCGUGCCAGCAGCCGCGGUAAUAC